UAGGUACAGGUAGGUAAAGGGUAUCGUCGGCGGCGGGGCACAAUGAGCGAGGGCUCGCGGAGGCGCAGCGAGGAUGGUAGGUCGCGGCCGCAGCGGCCCACUUCGAGCUAGGGCUCGACGCGCAGGGGGAGACUUGGCGAGCAACCAGUAGCCUCGGGUGGCGGUACCGUCGGGUCCUUCGAGGUCAAGUCGGCGGUAGAUGCCACCUCGGUUCGAGCUGGGUCUUGCGGCGGUGGGACGGCCUCGAGGGGCGGUGGCCUAGACGCGGCGGGGAGGAGCCUAGACAGGUAGGUACGGCGAUGCUCGGGGCAGACGGUAGCGCAGGAAGUGUACGGAGGACGUGGCGGCGCCUCCUCGUCGCGGAGCAGGUCAAGCAGGCAAUAGUUCUGAAACCUCACUACAUACGUAGUCCACGCUAAACAAAAAACAUGACGAUCUUAUCACACCCACCAUCAACAAGGGUCUUGGGUGAUUGUAUGGCCCGUGAUACGUAGAUGACAUGGUACAUCUAACUAAGUGACAUUCACACCCUAAAUGUUGGAAGUGACUAAUAUUAAUUGUUCCUGUUUGUGGUUAAUAUCAAGAUAAGGGACUACAUCAUGAUAUCAAACAAAACGCAAUAACCUUUAAACACUAUGCUUACACUCCAACCCCUUUUACUCACCGUUAUUAUAGUCCAAAGAAAAAGACCUGGUCCACAAAACAAGGAACAAAGGAAUAAAACACCGUUACAAAUCGGACCAUUGAAUAUGCUACAAAUCGGAACGUCUAAGAUCACACAGUCGUACUAUACACAAGUUGAAGCGUAGUGAAAAACGAAUCGUUUUAGACAUACUAAAACAAACAUUACACAAUCGGACAAAGCGAGAAAAAAGUCGUACCAUAGAUUUGACAAAUAGAACUGUUAAGUAUAAAAAAUUGAGCUUAAACAAAGGUGAGUCGAACUCGGGCUAUUGAAUAUGCUACAAUCAGACCAUCGAAAGAUGACAUAGUCGUAUUAUUGUGAGUGAAACUAUCGUACAAAAUUGAGUAAAAUAAAAAGUCGUACCAUUAAGUUAACAAAAAUGGACUAUUAAGUAUACAAUAAACCGGACUAUUAAUAUGGUACUCACCAUCAAAUUGAACUAGACGAAGCUUGUGAAAUUGAAAUGCAAGUUGGACUAUUGAAUACGUUGAACUACGACUAUUUAAUAUUAUACAGUCGUGCUAUCCAGCACUACAUAGUCUUACCAAUUGAGCCUGACGAAAAAAGUCGUUAGUAUAAAAAUGAAGUAGAACUACUGAAUACGUCGAACUCGGACUAUUGAAUAUUAUAUGAUACAUAGGGGGACUAUUCAAGUUCAUACACCCGUACUAUUGUUGGUUAAAACAAUCGAACCAAUUAAGAAAAAAAAGUCUUACCAUGGGAUUUGUUAAAGAUGUACUAUUAAGUAUGAAAAAUCGGACUAUUAAGUAUGUAAAAACAGGACUAUUAAUAUGACACACAUCGUUAAAUUGAACAAGGCGAAAGUUGUGAAUAAAAAAAAUGAAAGUUGUACUAUUGAAUACAUUGAACUCUGACUAUUCAAUAUUAUACAGUCGGACUAUUCAACACUACACAGGCUUACUAAUUGAACUUGAUGAAAAGUUGUGAGUACAGAAAUGAAGGUGAAAGUGAAAAUAAAGGGAUAAAUUGAGUAAAACAAAAAAUCACACCGUUGAGGUUAAAACAAAAGUGGACUAUUAAGUAUAACUAAAUCGAACUAUUUAAUGUAAUACAGUCGUACAUAUUAAGAUUGGCGAAAGUUGUGAAUAUUAAAAUGGAGUUGGUUUAUUGAAUACACUGAACUCGGACUAUUUAUGUUUUACAGCCGCACUAUUGAACACUACACAAUGUUACAAAUUGAGCCUGACGAAAGUUGUGAGUACAAAAUGAAGUAGAACUACUGUAUCCGUCGAUCUCGGACUAUUGAAGUUCAUAAAGUCGUACUGUUGUUGGUAAAAAACAAUCGAACCAAUUAACUUAGAUAAAAAAGCCGUACCAUAUGAUGGACUAUUAAGUAUAACGAAAUCGGACUAUUUAAUAUGACACACAUAACAAAUUAAACUAAAACGAAAGUUGUGAAAUAAAAAUGUAAGUUGUACUCUCGAAAUACGUUGAACUAUUGAAUAUAUCACGGUCUUACAAAUUGAGUGUGAGAAAAUCGAACAAGUUGAGUAAGAAAAAAAGGUCGUACCAUUGGAUUUAACCAAGAUCGACUAUUAAGUAUGACGAAACCGGAGUAUUGAGUGUGACGAAGCGGAACUAUUGAAUAUCAUACAGUCGUACGAAUUGAGAUGGGAACACUAAAACACCACUGUACGUAUACACUAGUAUAGAGAUCCAAAUCCUUCUUAAAAUGUAUCAAUCGUCUAACUAAUACGAUUUAAGAGUGGUACCGUACUACGUCCAAUGGGUCGAACGAUCCAUCAUCGUUUUUGUGAUGUCAUCACUACAUCAAUGCACCCACCAACGCUAUUAUAGAUCAUAAGCUUAACUAUCAACAGGUACUCAUCAAGUUUGUUGGCUACAUUACAACGGUCAUUUUUUUGUAUACUUGUUAUACCCAUUGAGCCCAUUGAGAAAUGUCUUAGUUCACUAUUGUAAGCUGGAUAUUUUCAGUAACUUUGCAACGGUUUUUGAAGGACAAAUUAAACUACGGACUAUUCAGACCACACUUAUCUAACUAUCGAAUACGUAUACGUACCAUUGAAAACUGGGGUUUUUUUAGUAACCUUGUAUGGUUGUACCCUAGAUCAAAGCUUCUAGAGCAGCACUGUUUUUUAAAUACACUUUUGUUAAAAAGUUAGCCUAGUUGCCAAAUUUGACUCCCGUCCGGACCGCGUCACCACUUCAGGAGGGGUGAACACGGUUCUCCAGGACCCAAGCUUGGUCGGAGAGACGUAACGUGAAACGUCCCCAUUCUGAUCCAAGGAUAUUAGGGAGGGGUCUGGGGUGGAACACACCCUCGAAGAUACGUGACCCAGACAGGAAAAAAUAGUUGCCAAAUUUGAUGUUUUGUAAAAGUUUAAACUUAAAGUCUCUUUAGAACCAACUGCAGUCGUUAAAAACAGAACAAAUCUUGAUCAUGACCACUCGGUGGCAUACGUACGUUUGAACGUGACCUUUACCCUAGCGUACGUACGUACGACCCCCGUUAGCAAGCCAUGUCAGUCUGCAAUCAACACGCCUAGAUAACGAUUGUCAGGAAAUAACAUACGUCAGACACUCCAUGUCCAUGUCCUUUGGUCGGGCUACAUUAAUUAAGUGAGGUGGUAGUGGAUGGACACGUCAGGGGAUGAACGUGCGUUCGUGAGGUAUAGGUCUAGACUUUUUGAUAAGAGGAGAGCGGCCGACGAUCACUAACUGCGUGUUUGUUUAAGGAGUGUCAUCUUCACCUAAAGUCUAAACUAUCAUCAGGAAACUCCGGCGACUAAUAGUUAUUAGAACUUGACGACAGGAAGCCGCCUUCCUCUACUCGUCAAGUCAUCUAGCCGACCACGUCGUUGGUGGGACGCAGCUUAGGCAUAUUCAAGUAAACCAAAACUUUACUAACUAUUUUGUCUGGCGAAAUGAUCAACGUCUAGACAAAUAGAACUAAAAAGAAAACAGAGAAACAUGUAGCUUAGUUCUAUAUUCUCGGCUACUCACGCGACAGCCCUAUCGAGUCUACUGGCAGUUUCUCCCCGCGGUCGAAAGCUAUCAACGACUUCGCCUGCUCGAGCUAAGAAGAUUACCUUCGUGACUCGUCGUGCAGAGCUGUCAAGAUCUACGUCUCGUACCCAGCUUUAGUACCUGAGGUUUAGAAUAACUGCACCUUUCCCUUUUGGCGCCGACCCAAGCUGCCGUGGUCAAGUCAUGUGCAACCUUCUUCCUAAACCUCUCUGGCUGGGGUACACAAGUUGCUUUACACCUCACACCAAAAUUUACCUCUAAGAACCAUACCGCACACGCCUGCAUUCAGCCAUCCUCUCUUUCUUCCACUGCUCCAAUUGUUGAAGGGUACGUUGCCUUCGCACUUUACUACAGUACCUUAGAGUGUUAAUCGGACAACGUUAAGUUCUAGUCUCUUCACUAUCAUACAUAGAAACAUUACUUACUUAUUUUUCUUAAGACGAGUCGCAUAAUAACACAGAAAAACAGUGAGCAUCAUCAAUUAGUUUACCAUACAAUUAAACUGUUUACGAAACGGACCUG
rnacentral:rRNA from 1 species